ensembl:miRNA MIR100 microRNA 100
GAAGAGACCUGCCUGCUGACACAAACCCGUAGAUCCGAACUUGUGGUGACUGUCCACACAAGCUUGUAUCUAUAGGUAUCUGUCUGUGUGGCCUUC